rnacentral:tRNA from 1 species
GACCCGGGCUGGUGCUCGGUCAGGACUUCAAAUCCUGGGGCGUCGGGAGGCGCAGGCGUUCG